rnacentral:lncRNA from 1 species
UUGGUUGUCACUAGAGGGCCUCCUGCACACCGAUGUAAACAAACGCACAUGGACAUGAAAAGCAAAGUGCGCCUUGUAUUUUUAUCCCUAAAACAAUCUCUGAAAGAAAUAUCUGGACUUUCUUGCAGUGUUCAAAUGAAAUAUAAUUAUCUAGGAAACAAGGUUGCUGCUUUCCAUCGAUGGCAUGAAAAGCAUCUUCUUCGAAGUUCGAUGGCUCAGACUUCAUCACCAUCUCAAAAGUGGAGGACAAUGCUAGCGAGUGGGCAAUCUUGAAGCCUGAGUCGGGGACGGGCUGUCCAAAACAGCACACAGGAUGACCGAAGACACGCAUAUCCCUCAUGGGUUUUUGAGGACGGCAUCGUCAAGCUCAAGAUGCAAGGAGCUUGCACCAGCUGCCCCAGCUCAGUGCUGAUACUGAAGAAAGUGUACGGAACGUGCUGCAGUAUGGACGUCAUGGGUGAUUAACAGGUAAAAAAUGAAAGAACUGUCAGAAAGAUCAGUUGAACAAAGUAUGUAUGAAGCCAAGUAAAAAAAAUACUGAUCUUCCGGGUUUCUUAAAAUAAUUUUUUUGUGUUUUCUUCCAAGAUGGCCGCCGUGUAUUUAAAUUCAAAAUGGCCGCCAACUUUUCAGUCCAAAAUGACCACGACCUUUUUAUUAACUAUCCUACUAGUUAGUUGAGUCAAAAUAUGCAAACAAUGUUAUACAUAUUUUGCCCGCAUUUAUGCAUUUUUUAUGAAGUGCAUGUUGUAUGCAUGAUAAAAAUAGCUUUUUGAGGAGAACAAAAAUUAAAAAAUAUAAAAAAGUAUGCGGCUUCAAAAAACGAUGGGGAAGGGGACGAUCUACUGAUUUUUUUUUUUACUUGGCCUUAAGUAUUGAAUAUCUAUUGAAUGUCAGUUUCCUGAAAUCUUAGAAAAUAGUGUCCCUUGAUUUGCCUUAUAUUUGAAGGCCAAACAGCAUCCAAACCAACCAAGUGACUGAUCAACUGAUUAACAAGUAAAACAAAUCUCCCAGGUCUGUAUGUGACUUUGGGCGUGAUCCCUGGCUGCAUGAUAUAGAGGUUUAUGGCUUCUGUCUAGCACCCCUUGAACAAAGACAUUGACGAAUGAGGGUGAUUCACAGUGCAGGGCGCCACCAAGAGUUUGCCACAGACAGUUCCUUUUCCCAGUGCGUUGUGGGAGAUGGUCGACAAAUUCGCAACACUGGACAUUUGAUAUAGUUAGUUUUUACGUUCAGUAGUUUCGUAAGGGUAUGCUUCCAGUGUAGUAUUUGUUUGCCCUUUUCUUUUUUAUGGUGGCAGAACGCUACGGCUCCAAUCUAUAACAAAUUAGCUCAAGUUGUCUAAUGACGCUCAUUCAAAUGGACCGUGUUUUGUUAACAUAAACUUCAAAAAUGGACUCUCCAUGGCAAACUCUUCGUGGCGCAAUGCAUUGCGAAUCGCCCGAAUUGACUGACAGAGGAAUUAUUUAAGUUCUCAAAUUAAAUAUACUUAAAUAAUCGUGUAGUCGAUUUAUGUAAACUAAUGAUUGUGUAUCCUGAAUUUGCUUGCAUAAGCCAUUCGAAGUAAAACAAGUAAAUUCUAAAAUGUAGUUUGCCAAUAAUUGUUGCUGUACAGUAAUCAUUGUGUUAUUAUCACUUAGUUAAUGCAUGUCAUAAUUUGGAUCGACACAUUGACCUAAGAGUUUAGAGUCUUAAGAAGAUAUUUCCUAAUCUUGAAAUCAUGAAUAAAAACGGACAACUCGGUUUUGAGAAUUACUUUUA